CUGCGGAGGGAUCAUUACCGAGUUAACAACUCCCAAACCCCUAUGUGAACCUAUACCAAACUGUUGCUUCGGCGGGAGCGCCCCGGCCCAGCCCGGAACCAGGCGCCCGCCGAGGACCCCCUAAACCAUGUUUCCUACAGUUUCUUCUGAGUGGCAAACGCAAAAUAAAUUAAAACUUUUAACAACGGAUCUCUUGGCUCUGGCAUCGAUGAAGAACGCAGCGAAAUGCGAUAAGUAAUGUGAAUUGCAGAAUUCAGUGAAUCAUCGAAUCUUUGAACGCACAUUGCGCCCGCCGGCAUUCCGGCGGGCAUGCCUGUCCGAGCGUCAUUUCAACCCUCAGGGUCCCUCCGCCCAGCGCGGAGGGGCCCUGGUGUUGGGGAUCGGCCCGCCCCGCGCGGCGCCGUCCCCUAAAUUCAGUGGCGGUCCCGCCGCAGCCUCCCCUGCGCAGUAGUUACCAACUCGCACUGGAGCGCGGCGCGGCCACGCCGUAAAACCCCCGACUUCUGGAAAGUUGACCUCGGAUCAGGUAGGAAUACCCGCUGAACUUAAGCAUAUCA
rnacentral:rRNA from 1 species